ensembl:snRNA U6 U6 spliceosomal RNA
GUGCUCGCUUCAGCAGCACAUAUACUAAAAUUGAAACAAUACAGAGAAGAUCAGCACGGUCCCCAUGCAAGGAUGACACACAAAUUUGCGAAGUACUCCAUAUUAAA